rnacentral:rRNA from 1 species
AUUGAACGCUGGCGGCAGGCUUAGCACAUGCAAGUCGAGCGGUAACAGAGAGAAGCUUGCUUCUCUGCUGACGAGCGGCGGACGGGUGAGUAAUGCCUAGGAAUCUGCCUAGUAGUGGGGGAUAACUUGCCGAAAGGUAAGCUAAUACCGCAUACGUCCUACGGGAGAAAGGAGGGGACCUUCGGGCCUUUCGCUAUUAGAUGAGCCUGCGUACUAUUAGCUAGUUGGUAGGGUAACGGCCUACCAAGGCGAUGAUGGUUAACCGGCCUGAGAGGGUGUACGGUCACACUGGAACUUAGACACGGUCCAGACUCCUACGGGAGGCAGCAGUGAGGAAUCUUGCGCAAUGGGCGAAAGCCUGACGCAGCGACGCCGCGUGGAGGAUGAAGGUCUUCGGAUUGUAAACUCCCGUUAAGUGGGAAGAAAUAGCCAUCCUUAAUACGGGUGGCGAAUGACGGUACCAUUAGAGAAAGCACCGGCUAAUCUCGUGCCAGCCGCCGCCGUAA